CACCUCGCAACCUCCUCGACCGCAGGGCCAUCCACGAGCAGGCCGACGUUGCCAUGACGACCGGUUGCGACUGGUUUCGAAGGCGGUGAAGGUUGCCCUCGCGUCAGAGUUUGUCAGAGUUCGUUCAAGGUCACCCAUGUUUGUUAAACGCUCGCCAGACAUUUGUCCAGACUUUUCUUGUGAUGAGA